rnacentral:rRNA from 1 species
GAUGAACGCUGGCGGCGUGCCUAAUACAUGCAAGUCGAGCGAACAGACGAGGAGCUUGCUCCUCUGACGUUAGCGGCGGACGGGUGAGUAACACGUGGAUAACCUACCUAUAAGACUGGGAUAACUUCGGGAAACCGGAGCUAAUACCGGAUAAUAUAUUGAACCGCAUGGUUCAAUAGUGAAAGACGGUUUUGCUGUCACUUAUAGAUGGAUCCGCGCCGCAUUAGCUAGUUGGUAAGGUAACGGCUUACCAAGGCAACGAUGCGUAGCCGACCUGAGAGGGUGAUCGGCCACACGGGAACUGAGACACGGUCCAGACUCCUAAGGGAGGCAGCAGUAGGGAAUCUUCCGCAAUGGGCGAAAGCCUGACGGAGCAACGCCGCGUGAGUGAUGAAGGUCUUCGGAUCGUAAAACUCUGUUAUUAGGGAAGAACAAAUGUGUAAGUAACUAUGCACGUAUUGACGGUACCUAAUCAGAAAGCCACGGCUAACUACGUG